GAGCAAGUGAUCUGAUUUUCUAGCGGAGGAACGCAGUCAGAGAGAGAGGGAGUGCAGGCAAGUGUGAGAGAGAGCGAGAAAAAGAGAGAGGGGGAGAGAAAGAGACAGAGAGACAGAGAGGGGCUUCAGGUGCCAGUGCACUGAGAGCUGUGGAUGCUGCAGGACUUCACGUCAGCCCGGCCGCUGCACUUUGGGGUCCCGCGGUGGGGGAGAGCUGAGGUGAGUUGGACACAAGAAGACACAAAAAAGACUAAAGAAUAGAGAUGGAGACUAAAAGCCAUCCAGGAGAGAGGUAGAGUCUGUGGCUUCAGUGGCCUCUAAGGCAGAUAUAAUAUGAGCUACAGUGGAGUUGAGAGUUUAGAAGCAAAAGAAAGACAGACAUGCUACUGUGGCGUGGAGUGAGAAAAGGCAGUUAGAGGUGCUGACAGGAGAUGGUGCUUGGUGGGGGGUGCACAAUAACACAGAUCUGCAACAAAGGCUGCUGCUUCAGUCCAUGCAUUUUCAGACACUGCUGGGAGAAUGUGGGUCUAUCGGAUGAGUGCUCAAGACUGGGGUAUGCCCAGAGGAACUGAUUAAGAUGUGGGAAGAUUCGGCCCAGUGAUUCGUCACUGGAUUUGUCCCACGUCAAAAGAACAGACUGUGUUUCACCCUCUACUACAACUGUUAAAGCUGUUAAUUAUCUCCCUUCCCGUUUCUUUUCAUUUUAAUCACUAUCACUGCUUUUUUUUAUUUUAAAUUAUUCAGUUUCGUCCUCCCUCUUUAAAGUAUUUACAGAAAUUACUGUAAACAGCAAAACAAAAGCAAUUCAAAUAAAAAAGACACAUCUGUUUGAUCUCAGCUGAAUUCAACAGACGCACGUAACACCUAUAAAUGCCAAUAAACAAGCACAGCAGAACAAAGCUGCUUUAAUUUCAGUUCCAUGCAAUUCCCAAUGACUUCUACCCUGUGAGAUUACAUAUCCGGACACAGCCUAAUAGCCAUUAGAAACACCCACACCGUGCCACUGUAGCCACAUACAAAUAGCUACAGUAUACUACAUAAUAUGUUACAUUUGAACCGAAAAUGUUUUGUGUACUUGAAAAGUACUGUUAUACAAACAUAAAUACAUAUAUGCAAUAUUUCAAUAAUUAGCAUGCUGUAUGAGAAACAUUGAUUUGCGGGUGUGAAUGCUAAUUCCAGUCAUACGCUGAAAUGGAUUAUUGAAGCCAGGAGGUAAUGCUGUAUAAGAAAUACGUAAUUCUUAAUAAUUUUCCCAGCUGUUUCUGAGGAGCAAACUUCUUGAUUCCACUGAUGCCGGCACUGGGACCAUGUUUUUUAAAAGUGCAUCGGGCCACAUACAUGAGUCAUGAUGUCACUAUGUAGUCUGUUUCAUUACAGUGCAAUGUGGAUGAGAUGUGCAUUUGGGAAAACAAAAAAAUGACCCAGAAAUACAUAAUCAAAAGGAUGUGAGUGCUUAGGGCCCAAAGGCAGUGAUUGGGAUGUGGAGAACAUUAUGUGCACGUUUCAGAAAGCUCCCUUCCUUGUCCUAGGCAUAGAGCUAGGCUCAGUUCUUGCCCUGGAGCUGUUGCUAACAUGCCGUGGUAUUGUAAAACUCGAAUAUUUGUCCUUAUGAUUAAAAUAUAAGCAGAACUGAACUCACCCCAAUUCAGAUUUUAACAACACUUGACUUGAGCAUUGCUGAAGGACAUAACAUCAGCACGGCCUACAAUUUUGUCUAUCUGUCUGAUUCACUGUUGCUUGAUGCCCUCUUCAGGUCAUCGAUUUAAGGAUAGAAGUGGGUCCUCCAUGUUGAUCUGAACCAUGCAAUCACAGCUCUGUAAUCUACUCAUGGUCUGCACUGACGGCCUAAUUGUCUGUGAUUUCUGAAGACAGACCUUAUGUCAUGUAACAACUAGUGAAGAGAUUUGGAUUUGCAGACUCCAAACUUUCAAUAAGGUGAAUCUCAGUCUGAAGUACCACAUGCAAGCUAGGGACUCCCAAUCACAAGACUGAUGCCUGUGAGCUGGUAAAAGGCAAGACAAAUCUUAGCACUUAAAAUACACAAACAAGCACAAUUCCCCAUGUAGCUCAGGGAUCUGAUGAUUCGGUGUGCUUUCACUUUCAUAGAACUGUAUGAUAAAUAUCCUCAGAUACAGUAUGUAUUGAUCCGCUGGACUCUUCCUGAGAUGCAUAAGAGCUAUAAGAUUGUCUGGGGCAUGUGACAGAAGGAAUCUCAUUAGAAGCAGAGGCUUCCUUUUAUCCAUGUAAGCAAACUCUUUAUUGUUCACAUUGUGUCUGGUCAGCACAGCUGUCUAAAGCAAGGAUCUGUCCAUCAGCACUAAAACCCAUCGCUCUCUGAGAGGGGGUGCUGGGACAGAGCCAAUGAAAUGGCAGAUGUAGGAAGGGUAAUUUCCCAGAGAGCUUAAAUUGCACUGUAAAUGAAUUAUUGUUUAAGAAUGCAUCUAGAGAAAGAGCAAACUCCACUUUUCUCACAGAGUGCAAUCUGUUUUCAGCAAUUGUGUUUCUUAAUUUUGUUUUUUAUUUUGCAUUUUCCAUCAUAUUCAUUAAUACAUAUUCAUGCCCAGGAAUUGACCCUGUAAUCUUAUGAGUAUUAUCACUUCUCUUAAACCACUAAAGUACACUGCCACAUCUUUCACUGGGAUGUAUUUGAGACCAUAGACAACCUCAACACUAGAAUUGUAAUACAGUAGCUGCAGUACAUGGUGGAAUAAUGGAUGAGUCACAGGUCUCACAUCUCUGAAGGAGUCAUAAAUUCACUCCUGCUAGUAUCCAAGUAGGAUUUCACCAUUUGUUUUUCCUUUAACUAAAUUAAAGAGUGUAAAUCAAAUGAAUGGCCUUGAU